rnacentral:rRNA from 1 species
UACGUAGGGGGCAAGCGUUGUCCGGAAUUAUUGGGCGUAAAGCGCGCGCAGGCGGUCCUUUAAGUCUGAUGUGAAAGCCCACGGCUCAACCGUGGAGGGUCAUUGGAAACUGGGGGACUUGAGUGCAGGAGAGAAGAGUGGAAUUCCACGUGUAGCGGUGAAAUUCGUAGAGAUUAGGUGGAACACCAGAGGCGAAGGCGCCUGCCUGGCCAAACAUUGACGCUGAGGCGCGAAAGCGUGGGGAGCAAACAGG